AACGAACGCUGGCGGCAGGCCUAACACAUGCAAGUCGAGCGAGACCUUCGGGUCUAGCGGCGGACGGGUUAGUAACGCGUGGGAACGUGCCCUUCUCUGCGGAAUAGCCACUGGAAACGGUGAGUAAUACCGCAUACGCCCUUCGGGGGAAAGAUUUAUCGGAGAAGGAUCGGCCCGCGUUAGAUUAGAUAGUUGGUGGGGUAAUGGCCUACCAAGUCUACGAUCUAUAGCUGGUUUUAGAGGAUGAUCAGCAACACUGGGACUGAGACACGGCCCAGACUCCUACGGGAGGCAGCAGUGGGGAAUCUUAGACAAUGGGCGCAAGCCUGAUCUAGCCAUGCCGCGUGUGUGAUGAAGGUCUUAGGAUCGUAAAGCACUUUCGCCAGGGAUGAUAAUGACAGUACCUGGUAAAGAAACCCCGGCUAACUCCGUGCCAGCAGCCGCGGUAAUACGGAGGGGGUUAGCGUUGUUCGGAAUUACUGGGCGUAAAGCGUACGUAGGCGGAUCAGAAAGUUGGGGGUGAAAUCCCGGGGCUCAACCCCGGAACUGCCUCCAAAACUCCUGGUCUUGAGUUCGAGAGAGGUGAGUGGAAUUCCAAGUGUAGAGGUGAAAUUCGUAGAUAUUUGGAGGAACACCAGUGGCGAAGGCGGCUCACUGGCUCGAUACUGACGCUGAGGUACGAAAGUGUGGGGAGCAAACAGG
rnacentral:rRNA from 1 species